rnacentral:rRNA from 1 species
AUUGAACGCUGGCGGCAGGCCUAACACAUGCAAGUCGAGCGGAUGAAGAGAGCUUGCUCUCUGAUUCAGCGGCGGACGGGUGAGUAAUGCCUAGGAAUCUGCCUGGUAGUGGGGGACAACGUUUCGAAAGGAACGCUAAUACCGCAUACGUCCUACGGGAGAAAGCAGGGGACCUUCGGGCCUUGCGCUAUCAGCUGAGCCUAGGUCGGAUUAGCUAGUAGGUGAGGUAAAGGCUCACCUAGGCGACGAUCCGUAACUGGUCUGAGAGGAUGAUCAGUCACACUGGAACUGAGACACGGUCCAGACUCCUACGGGAGGCAGCAGUGGGGAACAUUGGACAAUGGGCGAAAGCCUGAUCCAGCCAUGCCGCGUGUGUGAAGAAGGUCUUCGGAUUGUAAAGCACUUUAAGUUGGGAGGAAGGGCAGUAAGUUAAUACCUUGCUGUUUUGACGUCACCAACAGAAUAAGCACCGGCUAACUUCGUGCCAGCCGCCGCAGUAAAAC